AGUGCUCAUUAUAGAGACGCAUGAAGUAAUAUCAUGACAUUCUUUCAAUUGACACAGGUGUGAGAGAGAAUGUACCUGAGGUUGAGGCAGAGAUUGACACUGAUGCCACUGUGGAUGGCCUUGAAGACAAAGAGUCUGAUGAUCCGUGUCCUGACGGUCAAGAGGAAACAAUUAGCAACAACAGCUCCAGCACAUCUGGUCUUGGCAGCAGCAAAGAAUCACCUUUGAAAUCAGUGGCGGAGCUAUCACCUGGCACACGCCUAUCAGCCAUUAGAUCCAGAAGAAGAAGAAAUGCUGGCCUGUUUUCUGUGGCGGACAAGAUGAUGAGUCAGUCAGGGGAAGAGCACAAGGCACAGAUCAAUGAAUGGCGCAUAGACCGCAAGGAUAGCAACAAAUGGCAUGAAGAAGAAAGGAGGUUGCAAGUCGAGUUCCUAGAGGAGACCAGGAAGGAAAGAAAUGAUUUUAGGGAUGUGUGGAUGCAGAAUCUGCAUGUAAUGGAAUCUGCAGUAACCACUCUCCAAACACUUGGGGAAAUGUUGGUGAGUCAGCACCGGGGAAGGUCAGCAAAUGCUUGUGAAAAGGGUGACAGCAACUCAGAAAACAUCCCACCUAGGUCUGCCACGGCAAAACGUGCAUGCGUUGGAAGGGCUCGUGAAAGGCUGACUCUUUAGCAUUACUGGACUAAGAUGUUUCCGUUUGAAUUAACG